UACACGACCGUGCCGCAAACCGACACUGGUGCGCGAGAUGAGUAUUCUAAGGCGCUUGAGAGAACUCAGGAGAAGGAACUCGGCAAAUUGACGCCGUAACUUCGGAAGAAGGUGUGCCUUUAGUAGGUGAACCAUUUACUUGGGGAGCCCAAUGAGGCUGCAAAAAAUCGGUGGCUGCAACUGUUUAUUAAAAACACAGCACUCUGCUAAGACGAAAGUCGACGUAUAGGGUGUGACGCCUGCCCGGUGCUGGAAGAUUAAAUGAUGGGGUGCAAGCUCUUGAUUGAAGUCCCAGUAAACGGCGGCCGUAACGAUAACGGUCCUAAGGUAGCGAAAUUCCUUGUCGGGUAAGUUCCGACCUGCACGAAUGGCGUAAUGAUGGCCACACUGUCUCCUCCUGAGACUCAGCGAAGUUGAAAUGUUUGUGAUGAUGCAAUCUCCCCGCGGAAAGACGGAAAGACCCCAUGAACCUUUACUGUAGCUUUGUAUUGGACUUUGAACAGAUCUGUGUAGGAUAGGUGGGAGGCUUUGAAGCCGGGACGCUAGUCUCGGUGGAGCCAACGUUGAAAUACCACCCUGGUGUGUUUGAGGUUCUAACCUAGGUCCAUUAUCUGGAUCGGGGACAGUGCAUGGUAGGCAGUUUGACUGGGGCGGUCUCCUCCCAAAGUGUAACGGAGGAGUUCGAAGGUACGCUAGUUACGGUCGGACAUCGUGAUAAUAGUGCAAUGGCAUAAGCGUGCUUAACUGCGAGACUGACAAGUCGAGCAGAUGCGAAAGCAGGACAUAGUGAUCCGGUGGUUCUGUAUGGAAGGGCCAUCGCUCAACGGAUAAAAGGUACUCUGGGGAUAACAGGCUGAUACCGCCCAAGAGUUCAUAUCGACGGCGGUGUUUGGCACCUCGAUGUCGGCUCAUCUCAUCCUGGGGCUGUAGCCGGUCCCAAGGGUAUGGCUGUUCGCCAUUUAAAGAGGUACGUGAGCUGGGUUUAAAACGUCGUGAGACAGUUUGGUCCCUAUCUUCCGUGGGCGCUGCAGAUUUGAGGAAGCCUGCUCCUAGUACGAGAGGACCGGAGUGGACGAACCUCUGGUGUACCGGUUGUCACGCCAGUGGCAUUGCCGGGUAGCUAAGUUCGGAAGAGAUAACCGCUGAAAGCAUCUAAGCGGGAAACUCGUUUCAAGAUUAGAUCUGCCGGGGCCUUGAGCCCCCUAAAGAGUCGUUCAAGACCAGGACGUUGAUAGGUCAGGUGUGGAAGCGCAGUAAUGCGUUAAGCUAACUGAUACUAAUUGCUCGUGCGGCUUGACCCU
rnacentral:rRNA from 1 species